rnacentral:tmRNA from 1 species
GGGGCUGAAUUUAGCUUUCGACAGAGGGACAUUAAUAGAUUAUUCUGCAGGUCGACUAUACACGUUACGUAUAUUUUUAAUUGCAAACAAACUUGCAUCAGCAGUUGCUAAGGUAAAGAGUGUUUUCACUCCUAACUUUGCAUUUGCGCCAAUCGCAGCCUAAUACGCUCGAUCACGACUAGCCAGCAGGUGACAUAGCGGCUGGUGGUGUUAUACAUCAUGUCACUUAUUUCUACUAUGCGCAGCGGCGCAGUAGGAAGACAUUUUACCGCGCGGCAAUACGAGUAUUUAUGUUUGUUUUUUAGCUCGUUGCGUCGUUACUACGUAAGACAAACUAUUCCUGUAGACGAAUAAUCCAUUACCUUUUGGACCGGGGGGCAGUGCCCCGCAGCUCCACCA